AAAAAAGAAAAAGAAAAAAAAAGAAGAAGAAGAUGAAUAAUAAAGUGCAUUAAUGGGAAUGGGAUGAGGUAAUCAACAAGCAUUGACCAAAGAUAGAGGAGAUCAAGGUCAAACAAUAGUAAACAAAAGCAAAAUGAAGAUUAGAAGUCAAGAAACAAAUAAAAUAUUUUUGGUAUUUUUCAAAAUUAAAAUAAUACUUGAAUGGAAAUAAUAAAGAAAGGUCAAACUUCA
rnacentral:lncRNA from 1 species